rnacentral:tRNA from 1 species
GAGAGUAUAGCUCAGUGAGAGUGUGUGCUUAGCAUGCAUGAGGUCCUGGGUUCAAUUCCCAGAACUUCUA